GGCUCUGGUUUCUAGUUCGGAAGGCAGCGGAAAAAGAUGAAGGUAGUUGCGAAGGAAGGUGUUGUAUGGACUGAUCACUAGCUCAGGAAGCUCUCCAUAGUUGGAAAGAAGCUAGAGGGAAUUUGGGGGAAGCACAGGGAGGUGACUUUUGAAAGAAACAUAGCUGGAAAUGCAUCAACAAAAUAUAUUUCUCAAGGUUCAAAAGUAAUUCUAGCUACAAAUACAAGCAACAUUUAUAUAGAAUUCCACAAGCUCUUAGACGGUGAAGAUGAGAACAAAUUGAUGCAGAUGAAGACACGUGGAUGCAGCAUGGAAAGGGUGAAGGAUUUCUGGAAUCAGCAAGCAAUCUUCCGUGGAGGUGCAACAACGUUUUCAGCCAAAAUCAUGCUUCAGAUGCAAUGACGUGUGAAGCAUGGGAAUUUCUUGAGACAUCUCUUAUCUUGCUAAACUCAACCCUCUUCCCUUGUGGAAAUCUCUCUUUUACCCUUCUCCUUGGGUUGGGUUGUUGCUCUUUAUUUAUUGGGCUUGCGCCCCGC
rnacentral:lncRNA from 1 species